ACGAACGCUGGCGGCGUGCUUCACCCAUGCAAGUCGAACGGAAAGGCCCUGCUUUUGUGGGGUGCUCGAGUGGCGAACGGGUGAGUAACACGUGAGUAACCUGCCCUUGACUUUGGGAUAACUUCAGGAAACUGGGGCUAAUACCGGAUAGGAGCUCCUGCUGCAUGGUGGGGGUUGGAAAGUUUCGGCGGUUGGGGAUGGACUCGCGGCUUAUCAGCUUGUUGGUGGGGUAGUGGCUUACCAAGGCUUUGACGGGUAGCCGGCCUGAGAGGGUGACCGGCCACAUUGGGACUGAGAUACGGCCCAGACUCCUACGGGAGGCAGCAGUGGGGAAUAUUGCACAAUGGGCGGAAGCCUGAUGCAGCAACGCCGCGUGCGGGAUGACGGCCUUCGGGUUGUAAACCGCUUUCGCCCGUGACGAAGCGUGAGUGACGGUAAUGGGUAAAGAAGCACCGGCUAACUACGUG
rnacentral:rRNA from 1 species